CAUUUCAUUAAAGGUCAUUGGGCGGAAUCCGACCCGGUCGCGGACACGAAUGAAAAUGAUAUCAAAUGAAAGAGUAUAAAUUUACUUAACAUUAGGUAUGAUUAUUAUUUUUUUAAUCCAUGGGACAAAAAAGUUAGAACCAAAAAUAGACGAAAUUAAGUUGCAACUUUGACAUACUUCCCAAAUCGAUUAAUGAAGCUGAAAAUUGGCAUAGAUGUUAACAACAUGAUUAUAAACAAAAUGUCAAAAAUCCCCAUCGAUUCAACUUUUACCAAAUGAAAUAUUCAAGGUCAAAAGGUCAAAAUUACGGUUUUUUCUAUUUUUCUCGAAAAGGGCAAGUUUUAUCGUACUAAUAUGUUCAAUAGAGUUGUAGAUCAUACAAUUUUUUACAAAAAUGGUUCAUCACUUUUACCCUUACGACUUUCCAUUCGUGAGAUAUCGCGGUUUUAAUGAAAUAAAACGUAUUUUAUAUAAUACUCGCGAGGUUUUACUGCUGCUCGGCUCCUAUUAAUUGUAGGUAGCAUGAUGUUUUAUAGCUUAUAGCAUAAUUCGAUAAAUGGACUAAUUAACAAAAAAAAAACUAUUCGAUUCGGACUACUAGUUCUGGAGAUUAGCGUGUUCUAUAAAUUGUUCAGCUUAAAAUAUUAGUACUACUUUUCCGCAGUUUCAAUCGAUGCUGGCCUUCUAUUAAGCAUAGCCUAAUGUUUCAUUAAUUAUAACCUACCUCAAUAAUUAAUGGACUAUCAAACAAAAAAGGAAUAAUUCGAUUCGAUGUUGUAGUUCUGGAGGUUUGCGCGUUCAAAGAUACAAACUCUUUAGCUUAUAUAUUAAGUUACUAAGUAUUCCGGCGCUGUUUCAAUCGCUCUGCUCAGUACUUGUAGACCAUUAUUAUAUUGUGCUGAAUAAUCCAUUUAUCCAGGAAGCUUAUAGGCUAUAAAAUAUCACGCUAUGAUGAUAUACUAGGAGCCGAGCAGCGAGUAAAACCGCGGGAGUGGUACUUACGCGCUAAUCUCCAGAACUAAUACUGCGAUUUUUUUUUGGUUUUGGAUAGUCUACUUAUCGAGGAAGGUUAAGCUAUAAAAUAUUACACGACGGUCAACAGGGGCCGAGCAGCGGAUGAGACCAAGCAGGAGUUUUACUAUUAUUUGAAGCUGAAGAGUUUGUUUGAACGCACUAAUGUCUAGAACUACGGGUUCACACCAAAUUAUUAUUUUGUGUUGAAUAAGUCCAUGUAUCGAGAAAGGCUAUACGCUAUAAAACAUCUCGCUACAAUUCAUAGAAGUUGAGUAGCAGAUAAAACUGUGCGGAAGUAGUACUAAUAUUUAAAGCAGAAGAAUUUGUUUGAACACGCUAAUCUCAAGAACUAUUGACCUGCAUCGAAUUAUUCUUUUUGUGUUAAAUAGUCCAUUUAUUGACUACAAUCAAUAGGAGCAGGUAAAAUCGCGCAGGAGAUAGCGAGUCAAACUCAUUGAGUUAUGUAAACUAUGAUUUAUUUAUUUAAAACCGUGAUAUCUCACGAAUGAAAAGUCGUAAGACUAAAAAUGAUAAACUAUUUUUAUAGAAAAUUUUAUGAUCUACAACUAUGUCGAACAUAUUUUAAUGAUAGAACUUACCGUUUUCGAGAAAAAUGAAAAAAACCAUAAUUUUGACCUUUUAACCUUGAAUAUUUUUUUUACCAAAAGUGAGAUCGAUGGGGAUUUUUGACAUUUUGUUUAUAAUGGUGCACUUAACGUCUAUGCUAUUUUUCAGCUCUAUGCGAAUUAUGUUAAGGAUAUUAAUCACACCAAAUAAAUAAUUAUGUAAAAGUUUAUUUUUCUCCACUCUCCCACAUCCCACAAGAAAGCGACCCUUACCAUGAUAAACUAGACACAUUUUAUUCAUAUAUCCUGAUAAUUUCAUUUCUGUCCGCCGUGGGUUUUUUUCCCAUACAUUUUGCCCAUUGACCUUUGUAUA